GUCUUUGUAGACUAAUGAAUUAGUCAAAAGAUUAGAAAUUAUGGUUUAGGAGUCAUGCAGCUGGAGGCUACAAGAUUCUGACCCUCCCCAAAUUGCUCCUGGAGAUAGCAUCACUUUAUAAAGCCUGAGGUCAGCGCUUGAGAUAUUUUGCAGAGCCUGGACUUGAUGGAUCAGCUGGCACCACCCAGAUCCAUAAAUUGGCUCAUCUGAUCUUGUGGCCCCCAUCCAUCUGUGUUCUUGUGGAAUUCACCCAGAUGUCACUGCACUUCAGCUUGGGCAACGGAGUGAGACUCUGUCCCACCCCCCCCAAAAAAAGAGUUAAAGAGUUAAUUCAGGUUGGGUACAGUGGCUCACUAAGUGCUAUAAUCCCAGCACUUAGGGAGGCUGAGGCAGGAGGAUUGCUUGGGCUUAGGAGUUUGUGAACAGCCUGGGCAACAUAGCGAGACCUCAUCUCUAUUAAACAAACAAACAAACAAAAAAGGAGUUAAUUCAGAGAUAGGAUCAACUUGGGCUGUUGAUUGAUUGGAUUGGGUGGAGGUUGAGUGGGUAUUAGAGUUGAAACAAUAAUUUUUAUUUUUGCAAAGUCGAAACAAUAUUCUAAGAAUAAUUAGCUUCUGACUUUGGGCAGAUAUAUGGACACAAGAAGAAAGGUAGCUUGGAGGGAAAGACUAUGAAUGUUAUUAGUAAUUUUGUAACUCAAUAAAGAUAUUGGGAGAACUACAUGUCACUAAAUUUUUUUUUGUCUUGCAGAAUCACCAGUGAUUUUUAGUAUAAAUACGGCAGAGCUGGAAACCUGGAAAAUAGAACAAAAUGAAUGGAUUGGUUAUCCUACCGCUGAAGCAAUCAAAACAGCACAACUUGGGAAGAGAAAAUUUAGGGUUCACAAUUGUUUUUAGUUCUGUAAUUAAGCCAAUCAUUCGAACACAAAUAUGUUAUUUAAAAAUAAAAACCAUUUCCCUAGCUUUUAUCAGUAGACUCGUAACUUAUUUAUUUAUACCUUUAAUAGACUGUGACAGAAGAAUCCAGGUACUUAAAUUAAAAGAUGUAGGGGGAUGGUGGGGAAGGAGGAUUCUUCUAAAGUUCAACUAAAUCAUUCAAAUUAAAAAAUGUCCUUAAUGAUUUAAUUGGUUAGUAGUCACCCUGUGUAUACAACAUAAAUCCUUGAAAUGAUUAACAGAAGGGAAAGAUGGGUGGCAGCCCAUAACAGUCUCCUUAUUUAGAAAGCAUUUGGGGGCAGGUUUUAUAAUGCAGUCUUAAAAUAGCCGCUAACCAGAUUCUGAUUUCAGGAGCUGUAAGAAUGUGGAGGCCUUAGCCACAUCACCUGAGUGGUAAUUAGCAUUAAACGACACAGCAACCAUUUCUCAUUUCACACUUUAUAGGCC
rnacentral:lncRNA from 10 species